AAACAUUUCUAAAUGAAUUAAUAUUUAGUAGGGCCUGCUCACUGAAUCAUAAAUAGCCGCGGUCACCCGUGCUAAGGUAGCAUAAUCACUUGCCUUUUAAUUGGAGGCUAGAAUGAAAGGUUUAACGUGCCGCUCCUUUUAUUAAAUUAUCUUCUCUAAACUCUCCUGUAAGUAAAAAGACUUUCAUACUCUAGGGGGACGACAAGACCCUGUCAAACUUUCCACUUUAUGUUUAGCUGGGGAGGCGUCAAACCAAUUCUUUUACUUCAUUUUUAAACAACCCAACUAAGGAUUCAUUAAGUUACUGUAGGGAUAACAGCAUAAUUUAUUCUAAAAGACCUUAUUUAAGAAUAAGAUUGUGACCUCGAUGUUGAAUUAAUAUUCUACUAGGGGCAAAAUUCUAGAAAGAAAGUCUGUUCGACUUUUAAAUAAUUACGUG
rnacentral:rRNA from 1 species